AAAGGCUUUCUAAAAAUCAAAUACCACGUUUUCAUUUAUAAAUGAGAGCUUAAUAACGAGUACACGUGGAUAUAGAGUGUGGAAUGAUAGACACUGGAGACCCGGAAGAG